rnacentral:pre_miRNA from 1 species
CAUAUCGUGAAAAUGGUUGUGCAAUGCUAUUCAAAUAAGGUUCAUAUCACAGCCAUUUUGACGAGUUUGA